rnacentral:pre_miRNA from 1 species
AAAAAGACAAACCCUGGUUUCCGUAUCCAACAUUUGACCGUCCGUCUUAUUUGAAAAAAUUAUGAAAAAAAUUAAGAAGAUAAGUCACGCAUAAAGUAUUAAUCAUGUUUUAUCAUCUAAUAACAAUGAAAAUACUAAUUAUAAAAAAAUUUCAUAUAAGACGGACAGUCAAACGUUGGCACGGAAAUCCAGGGUUUGUCUUUUU